rnacentral:snoRNA from 1 species
CCUUGGAGUGGGAUUUAGAAAAACUGAGGGUUCUUCUUCCAGCUCUGCCAUGAGUGACCUUGAGCAAAUCACUUAAUUUCUUUGUGCCUCAGUUCCUCACAUGUAAAAUGGGGAUAUUAACUAUACUUCCCUAUACGUAUGUUAUGAGAAUAAAUU